UACAGAGGGGGCAAGCGUUGUUCGGAAUUACUGGGCGUAAAGGGCGCGUAGGCGGCCUGUUAAGUCGAACGUGAAAUCCCCGGGCUCAACCCGGGAACUGCGUCCGAUACUGGCAGGCUUGAAUCCGGGAGAGGGAUGCGGAAUUCCAGGUGUAGCGGUGAAAUGCGCAGAUAUCAGGAGGAACACCGGUGGCGAAGGCGGUUCUCUAGGCCUUACCUGACGCUGAGGAGCGAAAGCGUGGGGAGCAAACAGG
rnacentral:rRNA from 1 species